rnacentral:rRNA from 1 species
AGAGUUUGAUCCUGGCUCAGGAUGAACGCUGGCGGCGUGCCUAAUACAUGCAAGUCGAGCGAACAGACGAGGAGCUUGCUCCUUCGACGUUAGCGGCGGACGGGUGAGUAACACGUAGGUAACCUACCUAUAAGACUGGGAUAACUUCGGGAAACCGGAGCUAAUACCGGAUAAUAUUUCGAACCGCAUGGUUCGAUAGUGAAAGAUGGCUUUGCUAUCACUUAUAGAUGGACCUGCGCCGUAUUAGCUAGUUGGUAAGGUAACGGCUUACCAAGGCAACGAUACGUAGCCGACCUGAGAGGGUG